UAGGUGCGACAGGUAGUUGCUGGUGAUAGUGAUAUCACGAGAGGAAAGUCCGUGCUACAGGUGAGAUAGGACUCCAUCUAACGGAUGGCCAGAGUAAUCUGAGGGCAAGUGCAACAGAGAGUAGUCAGCCACUUAGUGGUGAACGGUGAAAGGGUGAGGUAAGAGCUCACCAGUGCUGGUGGUAACAUGAGCAGCUAGGUAAACCCUGUCCGUAGCAAGAGGCACAUGGUAAAAAAAUCUCACUAUGUCUUUAAGACAAAAAGUGUCUCGCUUGAGCGUUGGGGCAACCCUCCGCCUAGAUAAAUAACUACCCAACGACAGAACACGGCUUAUCGUCGCACCUAUACA
rnacentral:RNase_P_RNA from 1 species